GAUGCUAGCUGUUAGAGAGGCAAAAGUGAUGACAGCAAAUCUUGGGAAAUGAUUGAAUAUUUGGUGGCUCCAGCAUACUUAGCUGGUAAUCAGGGUUUUUGUCAUGGAUGAAGAAGGAACAACAGCAUUGCUGUAACCAUACUCAUAACUGAGGAUAUAUGUCACAUCUACACAAGCCCUUUGGACCUGGGACCUCAAGGCAUGAUGGGAGGAGAACCUUGGUUGUGAUGUACUCUAAAAACCAUGAUGAAGAAACCAAAAUCAUGUUGGAACAGGGGAGGUAAAAAAGCCAUUCUCAUCAUCUAGUCUGUUGUAGAAGUUGUCUCAAGUAUAUUUUCCGUGAUCCCACAGAAGAUGAACUUACCAUCUCAAGAUUUUUAUUCAACUACAAAAAGCAAUCAUUUUAUCCACCUACAAUGGUCUGUCAAAAACCACACAUAAAACAACAACAGUAAGAGGGUGACAUAUUCCUGGGCCAUUUCUGUCUUUACUUCCAUGGAAUAUAAUAAAAUAAUAAUUAAUAAUAAUAGCCA
rnacentral:lncRNA from 1 species